rnacentral:rRNA from 1 species
UCCUACGGGAGGCAGCAGUGGGGAAUAUUGGACAAUGGGCGCAAGCCUGAUCCAGCCAUACCGCGUGGGUGAAGAAGGCCUUCGGGUUGUAAAGCCCUUUUGUUGGGAAAGAAAAGCAGUCGACUAAUACUCGGUUGUUCUGACGGUACCCAAAGAAUAAGCACCGGCUAACUUCGUGCCAGCAGCCGCGGUAAUA